GACGGCACACUGGGACUGAGACACGGCCCAGACUCCUACGGGAGGCAGCAGUGGGGAAUAUUGCACAAUGGGCGAAAGCCUGAUGCAGCGACGCCGCGUGAGGGAUGACGGCCUUCGGGUUGUAAACCUCUUUCAGCAGGGAAGAAGCGAAAGUGACGGUACCUGCAGAAGAAGCGCCGGCUAACUACGUGCCAGCAGCCGCGGUAAUACGUAGGGCGCAAGCGUUGUCCGGAAUUAUUGGGCGUAAAGAGCUCGUAGGCGGCUUGUCACGUCGGUUGUGAAAGCCCGGGGCUUAACCCCGGGUCUGCAGUCGAUACGGGCAGGCUAGAGUUCGGUAGGGGAGAUCGGAAUUCCUGGUGUAGCGGUGAAAUGCGCAGAUAUCAGGAGGAACACCGGUGGCGAAGGCGGAUCUCUGGGCCGAUACUGACGCUGAGGAGCGAAAGCGUGGGGAGCGAACAGGAUUAGAUACCCUGGUAGUCCACGCCGUAAACGGUGGGCACUAGGUGUGGGCAACAUUCCACGUUGUCCGUGCCGCAGCUAACGCAUUAAGUGCCC
rnacentral:rRNA from 1 species